AUUGAACGCUGGCGGCAUGCCUUACACAUGCAAGUCGAACGGUAACGGGUCCUUCGGGAUGCCGACGAGUGGCGAACGGGUGAGUAAUAUAUCGGAACGUGCCCAGUAGUGGGGGAUAACUGCUCGAAAGAGCAGCUAAUACCGCAUACGACCUGAGGGUGAAAGGGGGGGAUCGCAAGACCUCUCGCUAUUGGAGCGGCCGAUAUCAGAUUAGCUAGUUGGUGGGGUAAAGGCCUACCAAGGCAACGAUCUGUAGUUGGUCUGAGAGGACGACCAGCCACACUGGGACUGGGACACGGACCAGACUCCUACGGGAGGCAGAAGUGGGGAAUUUUGGACAAUGGGCGCAAGCCUGAUCCAGCAAUGCCGCGUGCAGGAAGAAGGCCUUCGGGUUGUAAACUGCUUUUGUCAGGGAAGAAAUCUUCUGGGCUAAUACCCCGGGAGGAUGACGGUACCUGAAGAAUAAGCACCGGCUAACUACGUGCCAGCCGCCGCCGUAA
rnacentral:rRNA from 1 species